GCCAGAAGAGAGAUCUGGAGCACCAUUGGAGGGGAUUGACAACUUGGACAGCCUCUACAUUACAUUAAAUAAAAAUAAAGAAAUAUAGUGUUGAUAUGGUUUGUGUAUCACAGUAAGUGCAAGAUUUAGAGACUACAAAAAGUGAUCUCCAAAACGGAAAACCAGGAAAGACAUUGACUUUGAAGCACAAAGCUCUCCUCAGAAGCUAUUUUCUAUCACAGCAUUUCCUGGUUUGAUUUACGUCCAUA
rnacentral:lncRNA from 1 species